UGUUUUCUGUAGUGAAGUUUU
rnacentral:piRNA from 1 species